rnacentral:rRNA from 1 species
UACAGAGGGUGCGAGCGUUAAUCGGAAUUACUGGGCGUAAAGCGCACGUAGGUGGCGACGUAAGUCGGGUGUGAAAGCCCCGGGCUCAACCUGGGAAUUGCAUUCGAGACUGCAUUGCUGGAGUACGGAAGAGGAAGGCGGAAUUCCCGGUGUAGCGGUGAAGUGCGUAGAUAUCGGGAGGAACAUCAGUGGCGAAGGCGGCCUUCUGGUCCAGUACUGACACUCAAGUGCGAAAGCGUGGGGAGCAAACAGG